CUAGGGAAGAGCUAGCAGGUUUGGAGAGUUUCAAAGGCACAAGUCCAGACAGAGGAGAGCAGAGCGCGAUCUGAUGUGCGUCCUAGGAACAGAUGGACGCGGGACUCAGUCUGCUUAGUGUCUGUCCAGCACGUUCUGGCUGCUGCCCCAGGAGCUGAAGAUGGUCCCUGAUGGACACAGCCUCAGCCUGCCUUGGACACUCCAGGGAGGACCGCAGUGGCCUCAGAGCCACCCCGCAUCUCCCGCCUUCUGGGGUACCAGGGAUCGAACUCAUGACCACACACUUGCAAGGCAGGCGCUUAUGCUGCUGAGCUAAAUCCCCAGGCCCUAGGCAGCCCGUAUUUAUCAGAACAAGCGAGGAGCUGAGUGGACAAUGCAGGAAACCUGAGCAGGACCUUGGGAGGGGUUCAAGGACCCCUCAGAGCGACAGACGAUGCUAAUUAAGGAAAACCAUCCCGGAAGUCUCCAGGCGGCCUCAGCUGUGGCCUACCUGGCCACACCCCCUACCUGGAGACACCCCCUGAGGUGUCUUCUUGUUCUCAGUUCAGCCACGCCCGGGCCAUGCCACAGCCCUGCACGUGUAUUCAGCUUCCACGGCUCUAACACGCUGAGCCGAUGAAGCCCAGUCCAGGCAGUCACGGUGCAGAUAAGUGACAGGCAGGGAAGCCUGCCUAAGAAGGAAGCUGCGAUUGGCAGAUUCAGAGCAGAACAAUGAAGAGAGAUUCAUGGUCUCCUUUGAGGGCUUGAUCCAGCCAGGCCUGAAGCUUAAUUCCUCACCUUUCUUGUCACGUGAGUCAAUAAAUCCUGUCUCACUUAAA